rnacentral:rRNA from 1 species
GAUGAACGCUGGCGGCGUGCCUAAUACAUGCCAGUCGAGCGAACAGACGAGGAGCUUGCUCCUCUGACGUUAGCGGCGGACGGGUGAGUAACACGUGGAUAACCUACCUAUAAGACUGGGAUAACUUCGGGAAACCGGAGCUAAUACCGGAUAAUAUAUUGAACCGCAUGGUUCAAUAGUUAAAGACGGUUUUGCUGUCACUUAUAGAUGGAUCCGCGCCGCAUUAGCUAGUUGGUAAGGUAACGGCUUACCAAGGCGACGAUGCGUAGCCGACCUGAGAGGGUGAUCGGCCACACUGGAACUGAGACACGGUCCAGACUCCUACGGGAGGCAGCAGUAGGGAAUCUUCCGCAAUGGGCGAAAGCCUGACGGAGCAACGCCGCGUGAGUGAUGAAGGUCUUCGGAUCGUAAAACUCUGUUAUUAGGGAAGAACAAAUGUGUAAGUAACUAUGCACGUCUUGACGGUACCUAAUCAGAAAGCCACGGCUAACUACGUG